CACGUAGGGCGCAAGCGUUGUCCGGAAUUAUUGGGCGUAAAGAGCUCGUAGGCGGUCUGUCACGUCUGCCGUGAAAACCCGAGGCUUAACCUCGUGGCUUGCGGUGGAUACGGGCAGACUAGAGGUAGGUAGGGGAGAAUGGAAUUCCCGGUGUAGCGGUGAAAUGCGCAGAUAUCGGGAGGAACACCGGUGGCGAAGGCGGUUCUCUGGGCCUUACCUGACGCUGAGGAGCGAAAGCGUGGGGAGCGAACAGG
rnacentral:rRNA from 1 species